UUUGUUUGAGUCAAGUAGAAAAAGACAUGAAUAAU
rnacentral:sRNA from 1 species